rnacentral:rRNA from 1 species
UACGUAGGGCGCAAGCGUUGUCCGGAUUUAUUGGGCGUAAAGAGCUCGUAGGCGGUUUGUCGCGUCGGAUGUGAAAACCCGGAACUCAACUCCGGGCCUGCAUUCGAUACGGGCAGACUAGAGUGCUGUAGGGGAGACUGGAAUUCCUGGUGUAGCGGUGAAAUGCGCAGAUAUCAGGAAGAACACCCGUGGCGAAAGCGGCUCUCUGGAACGGUACUGACGCUGAGACGCGAAAGCGUGGGGAGCGAACAGG